rnacentral:rRNA from 1 species
AUGGAGAGUGUUCCAGUGUUGAUUGUUGGUGCUGGGCCAGCAGGCCUUGCAACGGCAGCAUGCCUUGGUCAAUUCUCGAUUCCUUAUGCCAUCGUCGAGCGCGAGAGCUGUAACGCGUCACUUUGGCGCAACCGUGCAUAUGAUCGCCUCAAGCUGCAUCUCGCAAAGGAGUUCUGUGAGUUGCCACACAUGUCAUACCCUGUAGAUGCACCAACAUACAUACCAAGAACCUUGUUUGUGAAGUACUUGGAUGACUAUGUUGAGCGUUUCAACAUUCAACCAAAGUAUCUCACUAGCGUGGAGUCAUCCACAUAUGACAAUGAUGAAAAAUGUUGGUCCAUUGUGGCAACGGACAUGUCAAAGUGCACCACAGUCAAGUUCACCACAAAGUUUCUUGUUGUGGAAAGUGGUGAGAAUAGUGCAGAGAAUAUUCCAAUGAUCCCUGGACUAGAAAACUUUCCAGGUGAUGUCAUCCACUCCUCAAGCUACAAGUCAGGCAAGAGCUACUCUGGGAAGAAUGUAUUGGUCGUUGGAUCUGGCAACUCCGGGAUGGAAAUUGCUUAUGACCUUGCGACCCAUGGUGCCAAUACAUCGAUUGUUAUACGAAGCCCGAUUCAUGUAAUGACAAAGGAAUUAAUUCGUUUGGGGAUGACACUUGCUCACCAUCUUCCAUUGAAUCUAGUGGAUAAACUCCUUGUGAUGGCAGCGUAUUUAAUAUUUGGAGACCUGUCACGACAUGGCAUCACAAGGCCAAAAAUGGGUCCAAUGACCCUCAAAUCAGAAACAGGCCGAUCUGCAGUGAUUGAUGUUGGGACUGUUGGAUUGAUCAAAAAAGGCAUCAUCAAAGUAAGUAUAUCCUUGACAUGA